AUGUUGAAUAUACGGUGGGGGAAUCCCCCCAAUGACGCUACUGAUCAUGUGAUACUGUAGUAAUGUCACUUGGGGAAUCCCCCCUUACGCUUUUCGGCUGUGUAACAAUAUAUGUUUAAUUAUUUUUCAGACCUCACAGGUGUGGAGCAAGAAAAUGUACUUUUAACACCGUUGAACUACGGGUUUUUAAAUGGGAACGUUCUAUAAGAUAAUGAAGGAGUCCUCAGAAGAACUUGAAGUGAAGCAGACCUCCCUCAGUCCGGGCUAUUUCUACCACAAAAUCCAAGAAUCAAACCCUUCCCAUGAUUACUGGCUCUUCUACAACCUAAUCCACGGCAAAAUAUUUACUAAUGUUUAUUGGAGUAAUCAUUUUUCUUAAAUCAUGAUUUUAUUCUUGUGUUUUUGCCCCCAAAAACAGCAAGCGGUCUAACCCAGACAGAAGGCUACAAAGAGAUCUGCAAUAAGGAAAAGUAUCCCUCUUCAGCACACUGUGAAAAGGAGAAAGACAUUUAUGUGUGAAAUGUUUGUCUCCCCUUUUUAGAUAAUUUCAAGGCUCACAAUCCAUAUAAAAUUAACCAUUGUAAAAAUGUAAAAUGAUUGUAGCUAACUUUAUGGUGCUUACUGCUGUUUCUUGUUCUUCAUUCAAUUUUGCACAAAUAUC